rnacentral:miRNA from 1 species
UGAUUUUCCCACUCCAAUUUAUCCACUUACACUUUUUUUUUGUUAUAAAAUGAAGUGUAAGUGGAUAAAAUUGGAGUGGGAAAAUCA